AGUGAACGCUGGCGGUAGGCCUAACACAUGCAAGUCGAACGGCAGCACAGUAAGAGCUUGCUCUUACGGGUGGCGAGUGGCGGACGGGUGAGGAAUACAUCGGAAUCUACUUUUUCGUGGGGGAUAACGUAGGGAAACUUACGCUAAUACCGCAUACGACCUACGGGUGAAAGCAGGGGAUCUUCGGACCUUGCGCGAUUGAAUGAGCCGAUGUCGGAUUAGCUAGUUGGCGGGGUAAAGGCCCACCAAGGCGACGAUCCGUAGCUGGUCUGAGGGGAUGAUCAGCCGCACUGGAACGGAGACACGGUCCAGACUCCUACGGGAGGCAGCAGUGGGGAAUAUUGGACAAUGGGCGCAAGCCUGAUCCAGCCAUACCGCGUGGGGGAAGAAGGCCUUCGGGUUGUAAAGCCCUUUUGUUGGGAAAGAAAAGCAGCAGGUUAAUACCCCGCUGUUCUGACGGUACCCAAAGAAUAAGCACCGGCUAACUUCGUG
rnacentral:rRNA from 1 species